rnacentral:sRNA from 1 species
GUUUUUUCUUAACUUCUUCUGUUAAAAAUGUUGCUGCAUAAUCCCAUAAACAAACUGUCUUCUGUUCCAAGUGGAUUAGCAUGACGAUCCAACAUUUUCCUU